ACUUUCGUUUGCAUGGUUUUACAGGAUGAAGCUGUAAGUAUAACAUAACCAGUUACCUGUCCUUCAACUGAGAGAAAGAGGGCUCCACUCUCCAGGCCUGGCUCACUGGGGAGCCCUGGAUGAACUUGGCGUGAAGGAAAUCAUAACAAUUAAAUUAUUUUAGUGUUAUCUUAGCUUCGCGCGAUCAGGAAAAUCCUACAGAGUCGCUGUAUGAAGCAGCGCACGCUGGGAGGCUAAAAUCUCUGGUGUGCCAAUUAUUUGUGUGGACACGCGUCGCGGCCUAUCACUGCAAUGGACAAGGCCCUGAAAGCUCUUGGUGCUGGUGCGGGUGGCCACGCGGCUGCAGGGCUCAAGGGCUUGGUGGUGAAUCCGGCCACUCGCCCGUACGCCCUGCUUCUUUGCGCUGGGAUAGUUUUCGCGGGCUGCUUUCGCAUGGCCGUUCGCCUGGCGGAGCGCAUAGACAUGACUGCUAUCGGUGUGUCGGUGGUGGAGGGGUGUGGAGUCACCAUUUUCGCGGCUGCAGUCUCCAUCCUCUGGAAACUGCCGCAGGCGAAGAAGGCCGACAUCCAGGGGGAGUCGGAGAGUGUGGACGUUUCGGAUGACCAGCAGGCUGGGGCCUCCGCCAUGGCUCACGUCGGCGUUACGACACGUAGCGUGGAGGGGAAACGAGACAACCUUACAUGGCAGUUGGAUGCUAAUUCCGACUCAGCAUCAACGGUGGCGGAAGGCGGCAAUGGCGAAUCUGAGACUGAGAGUUUGCUGGGACGGCGGACGGCAAGAGCAACCGAAACGGACAAAGAUAAUCAGCUAUGCUGACAUGUGUCAGCUUUUGUUGCGCCGACUUCUAUCAACGGUGAUCCGCUUGCAACAUGUGUUCCACUUACGCACCUCGUUGCCUUUUCGUCCGUAGAUGACUUCGCUGUGAACACCUAACAGCGGUGGCAUUACAUGUCCAACGUGCACGCAGCAAAGCGCGUAGAUGCUUCUUGAUAUGAGUAGUCAUAAUCAUGAUUUUUACAUGAUUUUUACUCUUUGGGUUUUUCUUCUUACUGAGUUCUAUAAUCCCGGUUGCUUGGUUUGGUCAAUUGCAGUGCCGUCAGUCAGUCCUCGAAACAACAUUCGGAUUGUGAUGGAAGUCAUGAACCUAAGCACUCAGUUAUGUGUAUGCGUGUGCGUUUCUUGUGUUGAGCCCUCUCCGCUGGGCAAAAGGAAGAUAUCCUCCUAGCUAGUUUGUAAGAAAUUUCAGCAAUCCUCAAGUGUAGUGAGUGCAUGAAGUACUCACACCGCUGUUAGGUUUUCAUGUGCUCCGAUUUUCCACACCGCACUUCUUAGUCCUAUCUCCGUCAAUGUUGUGCCCUGGGACGAACUGAACAGUCCAAAGCGUGAUGUGUUUCUGAACAUAAUUGAAUAGCCGAUUGUAAUGGGGACUUGCGAACUUGAACUACUUUUUUUCUUCUUUUUAUCACCUUAGUUUUUUUAUCCUUGCUGAUGUUUGUUACUUGAACUAUGAUUGCUGA